UACGUAGGGUGCGAGCGUUAAUCAGAAUUACUGGGCGUAAAGCGUGCGCAGGCGGUUUUGUAAGACAGGCGUGAAAUCCCCGGGCUCAACCUGGGAAUGGCGCUUGUGACUGCAAAGCUGGAGUGCGGCAGAGGGGGAUGGAAUUCCGCGUGUAGCAGUGAAAUGCGUAGAUAUGCGGAGGAACACCGAUGGCGAAGGCAAUCCCCUGGGCCUGCACUGACGCUCAUGCACGAAAGCGUGGGGAGCAAACAGG
rnacentral:rRNA from 1 species